GUGAGGAAUUUUCCGCAAUGGGCGAAAGCCUGACGGAGCAAUGCCGCGUGAAGGAUGAAGGCCUAUGGGUUGUAAACUUCUUUUCUCAGAAAAGAAUUAUGACGGUAUCUGAGGAAUAAGCAUCGGCUAACUCUGUGCCAGCAGCCGCGGUAAGACAGAGGAUGCAAGCGUUAUCCGGAAUGAUUGGGCGUAAAGCGUCUGUAGGUUGUUUAAAAAGUAUUCUGUCAAAGAUUAGGGCUUAACCCUAGAUAGGCAGAAUAAACUUUUAAGCUAGAGUUUGGUAGAGGCAGAGGGAAUUCCCGGUGGAGCGGUGAAAUGCGUAGAUAUCGGGAGGAACACCAAAGGCGAUGGCACUCUGCUGGGCCAAUACUAACACUGAGAGACGAAAGCGAGGGGAGCAAAUGGGAUUAGAAACCCGGGUAGUCC
rnacentral:rRNA from 1 species